AACCCCGGGAAACUGGGGAUAAUUCCGGAUAACGCACAUAUGCUGGAAUGCUUUAUGCGUAAAAUGGAUUCGUCUGCCCAAGGAUGGGUCUGCGGCCUAUCAGGUAGUAGUGGGUGUAAUGUACCUACUAGCCAACAACGGGUACGGGUUGUGAGAGCAAGAGCCCGGAGAUGGAUUCUGAGACAUGAAUCCAGGCCCUACGGGGCGCAGCAGGCGCGAAAACUUUACAAUGCGGGAAACCGUGAUAAGGGGACACCGAGUGCCAGCAUCAUAUGCUGGCUGUCCAGGUGUGUAAAAUACACCUGUUAGCAAGGGCCGGGCAAGACCGGUGCCAGCCGCCGCGGUAACACCGGCGGCCCGAGUGGUGAUCGUGAUUAUUGGGUCUAAAGGGUCCGUAGCCGGUUUGGUCAGUCCUCCGGGAAAUCUGACAGCUUAACUGUUAGGCUUUCGGGGGAUACUGCCAGACUUGGAACCGGGAGAGGUAAGAGGUACUACAGGGGUAGGAGUGAAAUCUUGUAAUCCCUGUGGGACCACCUGUGGCGAAGGCGUCUUACCAGAACGGGUUCGACGGUGAGGGACGAAAGCUGGGGGCACGAACCGGAUUAGAUACCCGGGUAGUCCCAGCCGUAAACGAUGCUCGCUAGGUGUCAGGCAUGGCGCGACCGUGUCUGGUGCCGCAGGGAAGCCGUGAAGCGAGCCACCUGGGAAGUACGGCCGCAAGGCUGAAACUUAAAGGAAUUGGCGGGGGAGCACAA
rnacentral:rRNA from 1 species